UACAGAGGGUGCGAGCGUUAAUCGGAAUUACUGGGCGUAAAGCGCACGCAGGCGGCUUGGUAUGUCGGGUGUGAAAUCCCCGGGCUCAACCUGGGAACUGCAUCCGAAACUGCCUUGCUCGAGUAUGGGAGAGGGAAGUGGAAUUUCCGGUGUAGCGGUGAAAUGCGUAGAUAUCGGAAGGAACAUCAGUGGCGAAGGCGACUUCCUGGACCAAUACUGACGCUCAGGUGCGAAAGCGUGGGGAGCAAACAGG
rnacentral:rRNA from 1 species